AAAUCCGUUGAUAUCACAAGGAACACCAAAGGCGAAGGCAUUGCACUGGGCUAGCACUGACCCUGAGAGACGAAAGCGUGGGGAGCAAAACGGAUUAGAUACCCGUGUAGUCCACGCCCUAAACGAUGAAUGCUAAAUGUUCCGGGGAUUCGACCCCCUGGGUGUUACAGCUAACGCGUUAAGCAUUCGCUGGGAAGUACGGCCGCAAGGCUAAAACUCAAAGGAAUAGACGGGGAUCCGCACAAGCGGUGGAGCGUCUGGUUUAAUUCGACAGUAAGCGUGGUACCUCACCAGGGUUUGACAUCCCUUGACAGCCUUGGAAACAAGGUUUCCUUCGGGCAAGGUGACAGGUGCUGCAUGGUCGUCGUCAGUUCGUGCCGUGAGGUGUUCCGUUAAGUCGGGAAACGAACGAAACCCCUAUUGCAUGUUACAAUUUCUCAUGCAAGACUGCCCGGAUAUACUGGGAGGAAGGUGGGGAUGACGUCAGAUCUGCAUGGUCCUUAUACCCUGGGCGACACAGGCGCUACAAUGNGCAGAGACAAAGGGUUGCAAACCGCAAGGUGAAGCUAUCCCAAAAACUUGUCUAAGUUCGGAUUGAGCUGCAAUUCGCCUUCAUGAAGCUGGAAUCGCUAGUAAUCGUGAUCAGCCACGUCACGGUGAUAUGUUCCCGAUCUGUACUCACCGCCCGUUCACCAAGAGAGUUGUAGCUCCCGAAGCGUCCCGUUUAGCGGGG
rnacentral:rRNA from 1 species